UACGGAGGGGACUAGCGUUGUUCGGAAUUACUGGGCGUAAGGCGCACGUAGGCGGAUUGUUUAGUCAGGGGUGAAAUCCCGAGGCUCAACCUCGGAACUGCCUUUGAUACUGGCAAUCUCGAGUCCGGAAGAGGUGAGUGGAAUUCCUAGUGUAGAGGUGAAAUUCGUAGAUAUUAGGAAGAACACCAGUGGCGAAGGCGGCUCACUGGCCCGAUACUGACGCUGAGGCACGAAAGCGUGGGGAGCAAACAGG
rnacentral:rRNA from 1 species